CAUUUUGUCCGCGCAGCCGCGGGGAGCUGGCUCAGCCCCCGCCAUGGAGCCGCUGUCGCCGGGGGGCGGGGGGUGACGCAACCCCGAGAGUGACCCCCACGAUGGCCAGUGGGGCUGAAUGUGAGGCCGCCGGCCCCCGAUGAGGAAACCCCUCCGCGUCUGACCCCCCCCCGGCCACCAGGACCUGCCCAAGGUCGAACCCACUGGUGCUGGCGGGGGGAGGGGAGGAGGAUGCUGCGUCCCGAUGGACGGUCUGAGGGGGCCGGGGUGGGGGUGGAGGGGGAGGGUUGGUUUUGGGGUGUCCCCCCCCACUUUGUGAUGACCCCAAUUGAAUCUCGUUCGGCUGAACCCGCUGCUGAGAAGCAACCACUGACUCUGGGGGAGGGGGUAAAGGGAUGCAGCCCCUCCCCCACCCCCUGAGCACCCCCCCUGACCUCCCCCCCCCCUUUUUGUGUCCCCACAGCCCGGCCCUGGACACCCCAUGGGAGCAGGUGGCACGAGCCGAGGGCGGGGCCGGAGAUGUGCCCCCGCUCGGAUGGAUCCCGCGGCCUCGUGUCACAAGUUCAAUGAAAUCGAUAUUUUUGUUCAAUAAAAUGGAUAUUUUUGAUAC
rnacentral:lncRNA from 1 species